AGGAAAGCAAGUUUAGCACAUGUAACAUGACAGAAGCCCAACUCCCAAGUGUGUGUAUUAAGGAUGGAAAUGCAGAGACUAUAUCAGGUUGGAAAUGUAUCAAGGAGUUAAUAAAAAAAGCUCAAUGAUCAAACCUUUGAUAUAGCUCUUUUUUUAUUAACAUCUGAUAUUGCUCAAUAUAUCUCUGGAAAUAUAUAUGAUAUUACUCAAAGAGUACCUGAUGGUAGAUACUCACAACAGUAAAAAAAUGGCCCUAUCUACAUGCCAUUGGCGCAUUUGUUAUACAAUGUGACAUGAAACACCUGAGCAAGGUCUGGUAUGAUAGAAACCAAAAAGCAGGCCAUAGUAUUAGUCCCAGAUAACUUAUUUACAAUGUUUUUCAUAUUGCACAACAAACUACUCUCUCCGUAAAGAAAUAUAAGAACGUUUAGAUCACCAAAGUAGUACAUGGUUGGCUAUUGGAUAUAUAACUUUAUCCACACGCCUUCAUCCAAUUUGCUUGAUAUAUAACUUUCUCCACACUCCUUCUUUUGAUUUGCAUGCAUGUUGUGAUGCACGGAUCUGCUAAAGGACAUGUCGUGUUAGGCAAACUAUUCAAAUAGCGCGUCUCAUGGACAGGGAGAAAAUAAUUUGGUCUAUAUGAAGGAGAAUCACUCUGGAUAAUACACAGUGAUUUGGAUACAGUAUAGCCUUUUAACAUAAAAGAAUAUAUAAGAUAAAAUUAGAAUUAUUUUAUCUUAGCAUUUUGCAUGGCCUACAAUGGGCGACAGAUAAGAAUCACAAACCUAUGGUGACACAAGAAGCCUCUGAAGCAAAGAAGGCGGCUCAACGGUGACUUGGAAAGUGAGAGAGGCGGAGCGCUGGCCUACAUCUCCCCAGGCUCUGCCUGGUGCCCAUCAAUAAGGUAAGAGUCCAUGAAACCACACAUAAUUAUUUUCGCAUGCGAAGUGACAACACAAAUAACCAUGGGAUCUUAUUUUCUACAAAAGGAUCAACAAUUAGAAUGCCAGAUUUGGCAACAACAUAAUACAUACUUCCAUAUCGGAGACAUAAAUUUCUUAAUUCUUAAACAAUGCGGUUCUAAAAUGUUUUAUCUAUCAACAACAUAGUAUUAGUGGUUGUGCUUUCAGCAAUAUAAACAAUUAGAGACAUGCAACAAUGGUACAUACACAUGAUACAGUAAAAGAGCCUAGAAAAGAAAUCAAUUCGAGUCACAGAACGAAGGUAGAGAAACCUCACCGACUGAGGUAGGUAUACAUAUGCUCAACUCAACCGGACAGAGACGCAACAUAAGUUAUUUUUUGUGAAAAACACAACAGAAGCUGAAUAAAGUAACAGAAGGAACCAGUAGAUAACUUUAUUGGUACCCAGCAUAUAUGGUUCAAUUUUCUUUCAACUAAAAUAUAUAUGCAAAGGUGAGUCUAGUUACCUUGCACUAAUUUGACAGAAAUGAGUUUUGCUUCCCACGAAAACACAUACAUGAACAUAAUUAGUGCAAGUCCAGUGCAUGAUUAAUUUUAUUUCAAGUACACCAUAGAAAUAAAGUACUAUCUCAAGGUUCUUGGUUUGUAUGAUUGUCAUCAUGUGUUCAAUUAACAUAUCUUGGGUCUAAUAGUAACCAUGUCUCUACUAAAUCUAGCCACAAUGCCCUGGACAUAUAUAAAGAUGCACACAAGACAAAAGAUAGUACUCGGCGUACAUAAGGACCUUGAUCGCCGUUGUGCCUUCCUGUUGCCUUUGACUUGAUCAAAGGCCAGCAAAGAAGCAACAAAGACAAUGGCAGUGGCGGAGGCGGUGGUAUCCAGUCAUCGGCAGACGGGGAGGCCUCCACCGGCGCCGUGGCCGGUGGUGUUUCCCUUUUGGGCUAUCUCGAUGCCACGGUCCUCACUGGUCACUAUAGAGUAGUGGCAUGAGCGGCGGCCUACACAACCCUUCCAGCAAUGGCGGCGGGAGACACAACGUCAACCAACAAACCAAAACGUUGGGAGAGGCGGUCACAGAGAGAGACGGCAUGGUGGCGAUCUGCAAGCAUAUGAUUUCUCAUUAGUAAAUAUCAUAUUGCAUUAUGAGAGAAAAAUGAAGAAUCAAAUAAGAACCAAAGCUGACCUUUUCAUAGUUAAUAUGGAUUCCAAUGUAGAACAGCCCACACAACCCUCCUGACGAUGGCAAGGGGCAAGCCAGUGGGAGACACGGCAGGGACCAGCAUGCCAAGUCAACGAGAGGAGGAGCAGAUAGAAAGAGACGACAGACAGCGACCUGUACUAGUUGAUAAACACUGCAAAUGUGUGUGCACCUGAUUAAAUGAGAUCCAUAAGCAUAGUUCAGAAUAACAAAAAUUUCGAAGGCAAAAGCCAUGUCCCAAGGUAAUAAUCAGAGGCAUCUAUGUUCAUGUCCAAAACUAAAAGCAAUGCAAGCUCCAUAGCGCAAUUUAGUUAGAUAUUUGCGCUGCAUGAUAAUUAGACAGCACUGUUACAAUGCCAAAGGGAGCUUGAAUUUUAAUGGUACUAUUAUACCGCAUAGAUAACAUAUCUUUAGUCUGCCAUGAUUAUCACAGAACACCAUAAAAGAUGAGUUUACAUGAGAAACUAACCCAUCAGCACAUGGGAUCUUACCUAAGAUGUCUUGUACAAUGAUAACAAGGCCAAUCUCAAAACUGUUGUGAUACAAAAAAACAGAAAUGACUGAAGUAUAAGCUUUAUAAUUGCACCGUAAUAGAGAAUUUUGUUGGCAGAUGAGAACAAUGAAAUAAGUUAACAAAAAGAAAAUGCAUCAUGGGUAAUUAAAAUGUCUGUCGGUGUCAAAACCGGCGGAUCUCGGGUAGGGGUUCCCAAGCAGUGCGUCUUAGGAUCAAUGGUAACAGGAGGUAAGGGACACGAUGUUUUACCCAGGUUCGGGCCCUCUUGAUGGAGGUAAAACCCUACGUCCUGCUUGAUUGAUAUUGAUGAUGUGGGUAUUACAAGAGUUGAUCUACCACGAGAUCAGAGAGGAUAAUCCCUAGAAGCUAGCCUAUGGUAUGAUUGAUGUUGUCUAUAUCUAUCGACUAGCCUGGCCCCGGUUUAUAUAAUGCACCAGAGGCCUAGGAUAACAAGAGUCCUAACCGAAUACGCCGGUGAGGGAGGAGUACUUGUCUUGAUCGCCAAGUCUUGUUGAUUCUUCUUUGUAUGCGGCAGCUGUCCGGACUGGCCCAUGAGUAUACGGCCAUGGGGGUCCUCGGCCCAAUCCAACUGAUCGGGAGACGACGCGUUGAGUACCCCCUAGUCCAGGACACCGUCAGUAGCCCCCUGAACCGGUCUUCAAGUUAGGGACGCUCCUCGAUUCUUCCGAACUGUUCUUCAUCUUCGGUUGCCGGUCUUGAAAACUGGUUCAACAAAUCUUCUCCGAUAUUGAGGAUCGCCGAAAUGCAUUCGACGAGUUUAUACGUCGGGUAUCCGAGGAGCCCCUUUAAGUUUCCGGCCUUUAUCAAUGCCUUGUUAUUUUUAUGCCACACCUCGGGUUUGAAGUUGUUCCCGGGCGGCAACGUCCUCUUGCGUCCGAGCUCCAACACUGGACUGCAUUCGAGGUAUCUUUUGCAGCCGAGCACCAAUGUCGGACUGCUGCCCAGCUCUAUCGCCGGACUAUGUAUCCGAGCUCCAACGCCGGACUGUAUCCGAGCUCCAACGCCGGACAAUGUAUCCGAGCUCCAACGCCGAACUUUAUCCGAGGUGUCGUAAAUCACCUUGGUUCAAAGAAGUUCGAAGGAGUUUAGCCGAGCUUAAUGCCGGAAAUGCCCUCUAUGGAGCCAGUCACUAGCGCCCGAGCUUUAUGCCGGACUGCUUCCGAGGUGGUGCACCACCCCGAAUGUGGGCCGAUUUUUGUCAAUGUUUUUGAUUGGUGCAAUUUAUUCUCUGCCGAGAUACAUAGCUAGUAGCCCUCAAGGUGGGUAUCGGUCUAAAACCCGAGAUGCACAUGAAGGAUGACAUAAGACCGCUGAUCCCCGUAGCCGCUGAGACUCAGGUUGAUUUGCAAAAUCGGUCUGAGGAUCAAGUCCUAGCUCGGCAGAAUACUUCGGGACACAAAAAGUGGCGUGCUCAGUCCUCGAGACUCAGGUUGGGUGCGGCCGACCAACCUGAGGAUCAAAAUCUCCUCAGAAACUGUAUUGCACUUAAAAUUUUCUGCAUAGAACAGGCAAUGCAGUAGCCCCCGAGACACUGGUCGGGUGGCAACACCAGAUCAGGGAUCGAUGUGCCCAUUUAAUAUUUGUAAAUAAUAAGUCCGAAGCCCAGUAGCCCCCGAGCCUUAAUGCGGGCACGGGAGGCCGAAUUAAGAAUCGAUAUCCAUAGUAAAAUCACAAAUUAUGUGUAAUGACUCUAUGUAUCCAAGUACUUUAUGUCAUUAAUGCUCGGAUCCGCAUUGUACAAAACUUUGUUGACCGACCAUCGACUUCCACCUCCUCGGCCAAUAGCCGAGGAGUGUUUGUCCUACUUUAUAAAGUCUUUAUGAGGGUAAAGAUUUACAACAAACAAGACAAUCUGGCCAUACGGUUUUAUAAACAAAGGUACGCGGAGAGAUAUGUUAUAUUACUGUUUAACAGAAGAAAUGUCUUCCAAAGAAAAUAGUCCCGCUAUCGGUUCCUUUUUUUGGGUUGUCAUGCUAAGCAUGAUCAUGAAACCUCAGCUCCAAUGUAAGAGCAAAAUAUCGAGGAUUUAGUUUGGGAGGCCAGUUAAUAGCCCCCGAUAGUGUUCGGCGAUAGUCGAGGUCAAGCCGUAAACACUUCGGCCAUUGUUAUGAAUGGCCCGUCGUUUAGCGCCGUCAUCGGAUCGCCGACCAGUUUACGCUUAUUGUGACAGUCAGUUUUCGGCUUUCUCCACUGAGGUGCUUAACCAUGUGAGCUGGAAGCACAAUCGCAGUGGUUCUCCCUUUGCACACCUAGCCGAACAAAGCGGAACAUAGGAGGCAAGCGCAGGAGCCGGGCAACCCAACUAUUGACCGAAGACACAAUUCGAAACUGAUGCAUAUAUAGCAAUAUCCGAGAAUGUUUUUGCCGAAUAUCUAAAGGUGUCCGACGUUGCACUGCGAAACUUGUGCUGAAAACACACAAAUAAUUUAGAAGUGCCAUCGGCUCGAAAAGCCAAAAAAACUUAUUCAAAAGGUUAAUGUCCGAACUAGAUCAAGUGUUCGGUGCCAAUCCAAAAAUUGAACUUUAGGAAAAAAAAGUGCUUCUGCCGUGCUUUAACAUGACACAUCCUAUCUCAAAACUUCAAGCGGGUCAGCCUACGGCUUCAACCUCCUAUCCCGAAGGCGGAGUACUUCUUACUAGGCCAGUUUAGCAAACUAAACUCUAGCGGCUUUGAGAGAGAAAUUAGGCUCCCCGCUAGUGACCGCACACUUGUGUCGAAAAAAGGAGUGAUAAAUAAUAAUAAAAAGUUUGCAACAACUAAGAAGAAAAACACUUAUCAUAAAACGGCUCAUAUAAAUUUAAGAGCCCCCAAGUGACUUGGGUAAAAGAAUGAUUGCAUGUACCAAAGUACUUAUAUCAUAUCUAUGUUCAACCGAACUUUAAACGCGUCUUAACCGACCGUUGGCUUCUCCCUCUUCGGUCAAGGACCAAAAAGUGUUAUGUACUCCAUCUGACGAGAAUAUCGACGGUGUUUUCAAUAACCAGGCAAUCAGGCCAUAAGGCUAUAACAGACAAAGCGCGCUCAGGGAACUUAUGCUAUAUUACUGCGAUGAGUAAGAAGCAUCUUCGAAGAAAAUAGUACCCCCAUCAAUACCUUUCUUCGGUGCUCAUUGUUAUUAUGAGACUUGUGCAAUAUAUUUUUUGUACUCAUGAGUUCCGUUGUGUGCCGACCAUGAUUGAAAACAAUAAGAGCGCUAGCUUUCGGCUUCACCCAGUCUGAGGUCCGGCUCGGUUGACCCAAUCGUGACAAUCGCAGAAGUGCUCCCUUUACUCCCUAGCCAAAAAAUCGGAAACAUAGGGGCAAGCACAGGAGCCAUGCAACCCAGCUUGCAAAUCGCUUAAGUCAAUAUGGUGCAUAUUGUGGCGUAAUACAUGAACAAGGAACGAAGCCGUACAAGUAUAAUCAUAUGCAAGAGGAAAAAGCUUCAUGAAGAAAGCCCCCAAGUAAACGGGGUAUUUGAAUUUGCGCGUCACAAACAAAGUUUGGACAAGGAAACUUUUACAAGCAACUUUUUUUCAAAAAAGUAUAAUGCUUGACUGAGCCGGACACAAGUUAAAAAUUUAAAACUUUGAGCAUGAAGACAACUUAGCUGGUUAAUGUGCUCGGUAUUGAUGACGCGGUCCGAGCUUGAUGCGGGACAAGGUUCCAUCCCCGAACCAGUCCCGAGGUGGCGAAGCAAAGAGCUCGGCACUCCGAAGUGGUGACAUAGCACGGUCAAUGCAGGACGGCAGGGUGAUGCCGAAGUCCCCGGCAUGGGGUAAUGAAGUGUUGACAAAGCCCCCCGUCCAGCCGAGGUGACGCCAAAGGAUAUAGUCCGGCUGGAUCAUUUUCCUGCGCACAAAACAAAUAAUGCAAACCGGAGAUAAUAGUAAUAAUAAUAAAAAUAAAAAAAAUCGUUGCAUAACAAAUAAUUUAUGCAAAGUGAGUAAUAAAAAAAAUAUGGCCUGGCGCCAAAGUCAAUGUCGAUGCAGGGCGGCGGCGUGAUGCGGUAAAGGUAUGGCAAGGCCUGAAUUCACAGGUCGGUUCGAGUUCCGGAUGCGGCGUUCGCCGGACUAUGUACGGAAACUGACCGAACCACCAUGCGACCGUCGUUAAUGCGGUCACCAUUUGAUAGACCUGCGUACAUAUGACAGACAAACCGGAGUAAUAAUUCAUUGGGAAAAAUGAACCCUAACAAGCAAAAAAUACUAGGAUUAAUAGCACCUGGCUUAUUUAUUAUAGCAAUCCAAAGAAAGGUGAUUCCCAAAAUUGAGACUCGAUCCGCACACCUAUCGCCUGAUGGGUGAUAAAGCAACGGCAUGAUGAUGCUGGCAAAGGUUGGCUCGGCGAGGUAAAGCCCUCGGUCCAGCUAACGUGAAGGAGCUGGUCGGUCAGCGACGCCGAAGUCUCCGGAGUAGGUCGAUGAAGAGAUGAUGAAGCCCCCGGUCCAGCGAUGCAAGUCGUGACGUGGUCGAUGCCGGCUUGAUGAAGUGACCAUGUGGCGAUGUAGGUGUGCCCGCUCCGUGUAAUCUAUAGGGCGGCGAUGUUGGUGACGAUUUAUCUUUCACGAUGCCGAACUAUUGUUCGGCCGGCCGAGAUGAUGAUACGAAGAAAUUAAGCUCGGCUCAACAAAGCGACGACGUGUCUAACGCAGGUCGGCCGCCGUGGAGUGAUGUUGUCGGGCUGGUUUGACACCGGCACGAUGGUGAAGUUCGUAUUGCAAGAAUACUUUUAAUACUAUUAAAAAUAAAACACAACACCCCAUACGAAAACUUCCUUCAAAAAAGAUGUCCGAGAUCCCGUUCAUAAAGAAGAUGAAUUCUGGUCGGAUCCGUUCUCGCGCAGAAAACAGAUCCAAAAGGUGAUGCACUAAUCGGAAUUGCUCAUCACAACAAAGUUCAAGUAAACUGCAAAUUUGCAGUAGAGCAAAACCCUGACAUUUCACUAUUUUGAUCACACUAUUGGGAUCACAAAUUUAGUGAAUUUAGUAACUGGAUAUUUAUCACCCCACUUUUCAGCAUAUAGUUUCAUGUUUAUUUUACUUCAGAGAGACCAACACACGAUGGGGAAAAGUAGGGACAGGGAGGAAGGUAGAAAGGCAGCAUAAACAUCUCAUCUUUCACGGCUGGUUAUGGGCCGAGACCAAAAGGCAGUUGUUUCUCAAUUUGACUAAAAAUGGUCUGCCACAACCAAAAACAAACAAAUUGGCCUGCUACAGAGACAUUAGUUAGUAAGCAAACAAUGUCAAUACUAUUAUUAGUCUGCAAUUACAUCAGUCUACAAAUUCACUUAAUAAAUAAUGCUUAUACCGUCAGCCAACCACAAAUGCAAGGAAUUCAAAUAAACAGUGAUAUGAGCUUGAUGAAAAACAGAUUUAUAACAACCAAACUAAUAAAUCAUGGCAGACAAAAAAUAAAACGGUGUUACUGGCUUAUAUAAAAUCAUGCCAAGACAUGUAACACUUCUCAUGUAAGCCACCACAUGAGUCGCUGGUACUAAUAUCAUGCCAACACAUGCCCGAAAGAGAAAUAUGGAAUGGCUAAACUCUCUUCAAAGAUGUCUCAUUAAGGUUUAUAUAACUGCAGCCGAUUUGAGAGAAAUCAAUAUAAAUCAACAGCUAGCAGCUAGCCAUACAUAGUAUUGUGCAGGAAGACAUUUCUUCUAAAAGAACACUGCAAAUAUUUGAUUGCUUGGGGAAUAACUUUAGGAGCACUGGGAUUACAUCCUAGCCAAAUUGAAUACAACUCUAUAUUGAAAAAAAAGCAUGUAUAUGUGGGGUGAUUAAACUUUAAUUGGAUAGGGUUGAUCAUAUUUGUGCCUUUCUGAAGAAAUAGAAACUAAGCCAUCAACACAAUCACGGGAUCAAAUAAUAAAUGACCUAAACCAAGAUUGAUAUGCAGAAAGACACAACCGAGUCGCAUAAUUGACUUGUUUCUAUUAUUAAUUGUUUUUUAUUGCAACACUAAAUAUGUGGUUGUAACUACAUAGUUAUAACCUAACUUACAUGACAAAAAUAGAACACGGAUCUAUGAUUCUCCAAGGAGUAAUUAGUUUCCCUAAAAAAAACAAUAAUUCAUAGUCCAAUAGUAGCUGAACUGAUAGGGAGCCAUUCUUUCCUAGCGAUAUAUGGAUCAAUCAAUAGCCCUGUUCAAGAAUUCAUCCGAUUAACCACUUAACUUGCCAAUUAACCCCUACUCGUAGGGUCACCGAGUAGCCGAUUAACUGAUUAAUCACCCGAGUAAUUGAUUAAAUGGCCGAUUAACUUGCCGAUUAGCCUAUUAAUCCCCUACUCGUCAGCCAACCGAGCAGCUACAAGUUAACGAUUUCCUCAACAAUGAUCAAUAGAGAGAGGGGUGUCAGGGACUCACUGUUUGAGGAUGUAAGCGGGUAAAAGGGGUGACCUUGCCUCAGCAGGGCUCAGUCGCACCCAGAAUAACAUUUUGUCAGUUUUAUUAGUAAUACUAAUAUUUGGUUAAUGGGGCACCAAAGGAAUCUCCUAUAUGAUUUAGUGAUUAAAGAAUAAUAUUAAACAAUGAAUCUCCCAUUGGUUCACAAAGUAUGCAAUUUUUCUCUCAACUGAAAUGACAACCACAUUUUGUCAGCGAUAUUUGGUUAAUGGAGCACCAACAAAUCUCCUAGAGUAUUUCAUUUGGAGGUUAAAGGGAAUAAGAAUAAAGGAUGUAAAAUAACCAGUGACACCUUAGCUCUCACUACACACUUGGCAAACAAAUACAUUAGGUGACUACUGAUUAUCUGUAGCUAAAUCUUAUCUGAAGUACAACCAAGAUGAACAGAAACAUUUCACCUCACUUUUGGUGGAAAAAUACUCUUCUCUGAUUGAUCAUUCAGUUACACAGUGAUCCGCUUAACACAUCGCAGGUUGAUCUGCAAUCACAUAAGCAAGCAUUUGCAUUAGAACAAAAGGAAGAAUGAAAUGUUUGAUCUUUCAUAUGGUACUAUUGAUCCUAGAGCAACGCUAAAUAGGAGAUUAGUAACACACAUCACUCUCCCGGCAAGAAGCAGCUCUCCCGGCAGUAACACGCAUCACUCUCUCGGCAGAAGGUGACUCUUCUUCAGAUUGUUGACCAUAUUCAUUAUUCACAAUAACGAAGUACAACUCCAAAUCAGAAAGGUCGUCGAUAAUGCUGAGCAUGGAAAGGUUUCUGUAGUUACCAUUAAUGUAAUCAAUGAGUACCAACUAUUGCUUGAUGCAUAUAUAAACAAUCAGAAGGUUGUCUACCUAGAUUUCUUCCUACCCAACUUUCCUUUAUCAGCAAGGAGGAACUGUUUUUUUCAUAUAUAAACAAUAAGCAGGUGACCUAAUGGACUAUGCAACCCAUAGAUUAAUUAUGCAAGAAGUUACCAUUCCUAUAAUUAGCAAGCAUCAAUCAUUGUUUGGUGCAUCUACAAACAAUGAGGAGGCGGUCUAAUUCUGGAGCACAUAGAUUAAUUAUCUGUGUAGUCAGACUUCCUCUGUUAGGAAGCAGCAACUACUACCCGCCGCACAUAUUUCUCCCAAAUCACUAACCUGAACAGGUAUUACAGUACACUGAAAAUUGGGCACACCCUACAGACAUGGAUAUGAACCAAAAUGCAUAUAUCUCUCCCAAAGCACUAAACAGGAAGCAAACCACCAGGGAAACCAUAAGUACAUAUGGCCAGCCAUAUCUUAUGAAGGUAUCCUAUGCUACAAAGACACAAUACCCAAAAAGACAUUUGGAUUGCAGUGCAGCCUCACAAUUGAAGCCGAAAACAUCAAAGAUUAAGCAUGUCAAGAGUGCACAUUUUUAUCGGAUAGAAUCUCACUUGAAGGCGUGACAACAUGUUUCCUUGCACAACAUAGGUCAAUCCACAACCAAAAUGAACCAAAUGUUCACAAUAUCCUUUCUUGUAUGCAUCAAGCAGAAUUCAAAAUCUCAUGGAGGUUCUGUACCAUUUGCCUUUGGCCACCACCUGGACAGUACACAACCAAAUUUAGCUGAAGUUUAUAAUAAACAUGCAUGCAACGAUAGCAGCCUAUAUUAAUUUUAUACCUGGCUUACAGGAAACCAGAAGCUAUGUACUGGCAAUUAACCAGAAAAGGAGGAGAAAUUCAGAAAAAUCUAGUAUGUAACCUAGUUUAACAAUGCUUAUAUCCCCAAUCCAAGCUCUACAUAUUUCAGCUCACUAAUGCUUACAAAAAAUAAAAAAUAGUACCCUCAUUUUGGAACUUGAAUCUGCAAACAUGGUGUCUAACUAAAAAUCAGAGUCAUGGUUAAGAUAAAGGAGCACCUCUGGAACGAGAGCGGUGGCUAAAAGCAUCAGACCACCAAAACAUCCCAUAGCACACAGUCCAACAGCGAACCAUCUCCUGAACCUAAUUAAGUAAUGUAUAUAUGAAUCUAAACUACAUGACAUAAGCUGAAGAACAACACGAGCAUGCAGAUCCAACUCUGUGAAUUUGCAAACAAAAGGCCCAAAAAAUUCACCUCCAGAUGAGGUCUCCGAGAAGCAUAAAGUCGCCAUCCUUGUCUCCGUUCCGCUCACCGCCACGAGACUCAUCUCCUCGUACCCACCCUGCAUCCAAGAGCCAAAUCGUCAGAAACCCACCAGAAGAACAACACAUAACAUGCUCGUCUCUGCUGCUAUUGAGUACAUGAACAGGAUAUGUUCUUGGCUGCAAACUAUUAACUUUUUAGGAAUUUUAAGCAACAUUAUAGAAGCUGAAAUACAACCAGAUCUAUUUUAACAAUAGGUUUAUGAGAUUAUGGUGUGCCUUUUCUUAUCUAUCUGUCACAAUAUAUUAUAUAAUGGGUACAUGCUAUCUGGAACAUGAAAGACAAGGGAAAAUUAAAAGGGUCAACUGUUAUACAAUACAUAUGUACCCAGAGCCAUUAACUUAAAAGGGUCAAUAUAUUUUCUACACUAUGCUUUGUGAAAUUAACUCUUUUAUGUACCUCCCUCACAAACAUUCACGGUUACCAAAUCUAGAUGAUUUUUAUUUGAACUUUUAGAACUGAAUACCAAGAGCAUACAUGCCUCUUACUUUGCAACCUUAGCCAAACAUAGUGGAGAGAAUACGAGGAGUGCUGUAUAGGAAAAAAAUUAAGUUAAUAGCUGUCCCUGCAGUUUCCAUCAGAUUAACAUUAAAACUCAUCAAAAAGUAAGGAAUAGCGAGCCAAAUGUGAAUUGUAUUACAACACAAGGUUUUAAAUUGUGCGGUCCGAUAAAAAUGAAGUUAAAUGAUGUGUGCCCUAUGGUAUGCAGACUGUUUCAUCCUUAGAAAUUGUAAUGCAAAAUCAGGCUGUCUGCUAGCAUAAAGGUGGCUUUUAAAUAUUAGAAUGCCACUUCAAAGUUGAAGUAAGUAUGAACCCACAGAAAAUCACCACUACCCAACCAUAAACAGAGAGGAAGUAAUAUGAGCUGAGAUCUUCGAUGGCAUAAAAAAAUUUAGAGCAUAUUUGACAUAUCAUUUUGAAGUUAAAAAUAGCAAAUAAGCUACAGCCAAGAAAGAACACAUUAAGUAGCUAGAGAGUAUACACUACUUUCUAAUAGGAAAGAAGGUAAUUUACCCGGCAAGGUAUUGUCACUGAUUCCAACAUGAAAGAACAAAGAAACCUGGGAUAAUCCCAACCACAUCUGUCCAUACAAAAAACACAAGUCAAUACACCAAAGGCAUGCCCAAUACAAAAGGAGCAACACGAUAGGCAUCAUAAAAAGUACCUGUGAAACGCUCAGGCGUGUUUGUAGGCCUUGGGAGCUGAUUAAUUGGAGUCAGGACAUAGGUGCAGAAAGGAAAUUCUGCUUCUAGACCCUCCCAUCACGCAACAGUUGUAUACCUAGUGAACUUAAUCAUGUAUUGACUCUCCACCAGCCCGAAGACAUACUUCUUGAGAAAGACCAGAAACUUGCGACAGAUCAUCAACCCACACUCUUGGGGGACACAUAUAAAUUGGUUAACAAAUUUCUCAGGCAUCUCUGCAUACAUAUGGUUACCCUGCGAGGAAAAGAGUAUGGUUCAACACAGGAGAAAUAACAGACCAUUAAAUAACAGGACAAGAAAGACAGGAAACCAGAUCAAAGAAUACAUGUACCUGCAUCUAGUAUAACCACAUCCAUCUCCUUGAUAGGUCCAUUUUCGGUUCCACCAUGGUGAUGCCACAGACGUGAUAUGCACACACAGGGUAUGCUAGAGCGAGUUACACGGACGCACUUCAGACAGUGCAUUGAAUGUUAUCUACAACAAAUAGAAAAUGCAAAAAAAUGCAAAGACUAAUCAGAGCAGGCCAUGGUCUAGCAAUCAUGAUAAGCACAUAACAUAUUGUACAGACCCAAAUAUAAUCAAAGGCAGCAUGCCAACACACACAUCAAAGAAAGACACACCACAUGUAAUCGCGACAAUAAAGGUAAAUAGUGAUCCUACCUCCUAAGUAGGAUCAAUUAGUUCAUCACAUCAUUAUACCAAGAGCACACACACACUGGCAAAUCAUCUAAAAGGCUGAUCCAACAAAAGAGGGUACACAGUGCAGAAGAACGAGGCCAGCAAAAGAGGGUCCUUGCACAAUAAAUAGCAAUAGAACCGACCAACAAUCCUGGAAAUAAGAGUAAGUACUAAAUUUGCAGGCAAUGAAAUAGUCACAUUUGUAACGAUUGUCCAUAGAUUUGUCUUAAUUGAUCAUAAUCCAUUGCACUCCUGACACUAAACAAAUUCGUAACCGCUCUUUUCCGAGAUAUGAUGUUGUGAAUAUAAUUAACCUUCAUAAGAAAGAAAUAAUUUCUAGCCUAAAAAUAGCUCACGGCCAACACUGUCCAUCACCACUGUUAACCUUCAAGAAUAACAGGACAAUAUAAUUAAUCCUUGAGGCAAAGAACGAAAUCAGAGACUAACCCAGACCAACAAUUAAUCUUAAUUAUACUAACCAGCCAUGCAAUCAAUCCUUAAGCUAAAGAACUAAAUCAGAGACCAACCCAGGCCAACAAUCAACCCUCAAGCCAAACACUCGAACCAAGAAAUUUGGGACACAUUUUAGCCUUACAUAAUUCAGCGUGCAGUGAAUCCUAAAGACAAAGAACCAAAUCAGAGACUAACCCAGUGCUCUUUUUCUAAUCAACCAUGUGACCUAUCCAUUCCUGUGAUUACAUUGCUAAGCAAGGACCAAAUUAAUCUAGCACUUGAGGACAAUACUCUAAUACAAACAACUGCACCCACAACAGGCAUAGACCACCCAUGUUCUUAACCAACCAUGCAACCUCACUGACCGCCAAGGCAAACAAUUAAGAAAGGACCAAUGAAAACAAAUCAACAAUGACACCAUCUAAGAAUCCAACAACAGAAGCCCACGAAUAACCUGUUCCCCACCUCUCUUUUGCAAGGCCUAAUCGAUUACAGACAAAUCCAGCCCCUGAAAAUAGUACAUUGAUUCCAAGAACGUCAGAACCACACCUACAGCAACACAGAUUGUCUUAUAUUUUCCCAACCAACUUGUCAGAUGUCCAACCCCGAAGAUAAACGGACAAGGAAGAGCUUGGGUUAACCAAUCCAUUCAGGCAGACAAUUUCCAAGAACAGAGCCCAUGCACAAUCCAUCUCAUCACCUUCACCUAACAAGCUCCAAUCAAGCACCUAAGAAUGGCUCCUAAACCCACUGAACAGCAACCACGAAAGGUACAAUCCGUUAAAUUAACCAGGCAUGUGAUUCAUGCAACUAAUCCUUAAGAAAAAGAACUAAAGCAGGUACUAACCCGAAUGGCAACAAAUCUGCGUCAUAUUCUAACCUAAUGUAAUCCAACAAUUAAUCAUCAAGAGAAACACCUAAAUCUGGGACUAACCCCGAAUGGCAACAAAUCUGCGUCAUAUUGUAACAUAAUGUAAUCCAACAAUUAAUCAUCAAGAGAAACACCUAAAUCUGGGACUAACCCAAACCAAUAGUCAGACCAGUGAAAUAUCUUAAACCAACAGAAUCCAACUACGACCCAAGCAGAUCCCCUAAUUUCACAAAAGGAAACAGACCAUAUCCAGGCUCGAAUAGCUAAUGCAUCCAAAAAAAUUGCCGCAUCCGACCAGCCAACACGUCCAAAAAACUAUUGGAGUCCCACAUAAGCACCAGACAAGAGUGGAAAGGAGGAGAAAAGGGGUUGACUUGCAGAACUAAUUCACCCCCUGUCGCUGCCAUCAUUGGUGAUGGCCGCUGCUGUCGUCCGAGGCUAGGGUUCGCUGCUGGACGCGUGCGUGCACCUGUGUGACCAAAAAGCAGCAGCAACAUGAGGGGAGGGGAGGGGCCAAAAACAACAACAUCAUGAGGGGAGGGGAGGGGCCAAUAGCACCUUGACCAGCAGCAGCAAUGCUAGGGUUUGGGGUGUCUCCGUCCACGGCUGUACCUGGGUCAGACCCCCACUCCAUGGCCGGCCUCGAGGACGGUGGUGGCUCAGGUCGACGACGGCGCGUUGAUGCCGUCGUGGAUCUGGGCGCUGCAUCACCACGUCCUCCUCGCGCUCCGGGAGCGGGCGGUGGUUCCCCUUCUCGCCCCUGCGCACGAGCGUGCGGUGUGGUGGCGGACGGCUGGGCGAGAAGACGACGGUGGCAUGGGGCUGGACCUGGACGGCGGUGGAGCUGGGAGGCGCGGGUGAGGUUCUAGGGCUUGGAGGGAGAGAGAGAGGCAAGGGGGCGGCGCGAGGGCGAGCGGAGGCGGCGGCGGCGCGAGGGCGAGCGGUGGCGGCGUGCGAGGCAUAGGAGAUCGAGAGAGAGAGAGAGGAGGAGGUGGGACGAGCGAAUGUGGAGAAGCGACGGCUAGGUCACGCCCAUGUGGCGAUUGGAUAUUUUUCCAACCAUGGGAAAUGACGAAAAUGCCCUCCGCAACCAUCUAGUUUUACACGCGGUGGCAUUGGAAUUUUAUCUAACGGCUCACGGUGAUCUGGUAAAUAUCUGCCGCCUCACGUGAACCGAACCCGAGAUCCGACGGCCGGAAACGCGUCAGGAGAUCAAUCGGACGGCCGGAAUCGCCUGAGCUCUGAGGAGCCUCCGGCAUCCACUCGUCUCUUAUUUCUGGAUGUGAAUCCCAUCAAAGUAAUACAAAUGCUAUGGUGUGCAUCCCCGAAGUUAUGAACACCCUUAGGUUCCUGGGUUUGCUAAGCAUUAACUGGUCAUUGAGCCGGUGAGGGGCUGUGAUUGAACUCCAUAGGUGCACAAUAGACGCCUAAACCAUUGAUCACAGUGUCUCCUUCGCCUGCUUUCUAGAAGUAGAGUAGUGAAGAACCGUUCCUUUCCUCCACGAGGUUCGCUGGAGGAACUUAGGCUUUCUGUUCUCUCGUCGACGCUGGUCCAACUCACCUCUGGUGCGUAACGAAUUGAUUGAACUGUCACUUUUUUUUGAACCCAAAGGCAAAAGAUUUGCCUCAUUCAUUAAUUAAGGGAAGAGACAAGGUUUAAGUCGGAGCCACAUGAGGCCCACUGAAUACAAAGUCAUUACUCUCGCGGCAUCAAAUUACUCGGGCGUUUCGCCCCCGCUAGCACGGAAAAAAAUUCUAUGAGACCAGGUCUCACAGUUUAGCAGGUGAGACCCAUCUUGAUGGAUGACACGUGGCAUUUGCAAAUCACAAAGCAUCUACCCCACCCCCCACCUGAAAUCAGGGAUGGAGAGAUUAGAUGCUUUGUGAUUUGUGAAUGCCACAUGUCAUUCAUUAGGGCGGGUCUCACCUGGUUUAUAUGAGACCUGGUCUCAUAUAAUUUUUUUUCCGCUAGCACCAGAGCCUAGCUUCCUCCUUCAAGUUUCGCAAGAUGAUUUGGGGGGCGUUGAUUUCUUCUGGAAGACCCUUGCAUUUCUCUCAUUCCAAAUGGUCCAGGUGGUGAGCAAGGUGAGGGUCGCCAUCGCCUUGCUGCGCCUGGCCAUAUGAGUCCACCAACUACUGAGAGAGUGAUGAGCCGCCCACUGGUUGGUGUUGAUAUCGCCAAUUUGCAUCCAAUCUCUAAUCAGCCUCCACAACCGCAUAGUGUACCGACAUCUGUCACUUUCAUUGAUGACCCAGGGGAUUAGAUACAGAGGGAACAGGAUCCAAUGCCACGAAGGGGCGCAUUCGCUCGCGGGGGCGUGGGCAUAUUUCAAACCGCACACUAGUUACAAGGGAGGAUUAUUCCUAAAUAAUAUAAUUAGUUUAAAUCGUAACACUCCCCCUAAUCCUCGCUUGUCCUCGAGACUGUUCAUCUUUGAAACAUUCUUCUCCAAAACCCUGUGGGAAAAAUUGAGAAAAUAAUAUACAAUAUGCCAUGAAAAACUCCUAAGACCCAGUGGGAAAAUAAGGAGAAAAUGAUGUAUAUCGUACAUGCUUGCAUUGAUAUUGCCUCGUUAAAAACCUUCUAUGAGAAACCAUUUGGAAAACCUCACAGAGGAAAAGAGCAAUACUAAAGAUCACAUGAUCUUGACAGGUUAUACCCUAGGAGAUUUCUCCUCCUGAAUUUUGCACGUCUCGAAGU
rnacentral:lncRNA from 1 species